rnacentral:lncRNA from 1 species
CAGCAGGGAGAGAAUUUCACAGCUCAUUGACUGCUCUGACUCCUAAUCUACACCGAGGAAACAAUGUUGCAGCUCAUCAAAUGCAAUCAGCUGCUAAUUGAAAGGAAAUGGAAUUUUACAAUUACAGGCCACCUUUCAGUGCUCAGGAUUUCUAAGCACUUCUCCCCACCUUCCUUUGCCAGCUCAGCACUGGCAGGAGCACUUGACAACCUGCUAGAGACUUCCCUAAAAGCUGCAUUUAGGACCUGGCCCGUUCUCCCCAGCUCCAGAGCAGCAGCAAAGGGAAGCAGCGUCCUCGCCAAUACCUGGGCUGUCCUUCAAGGCUCAGUGCAAGGAAAAACACCUGGGUUGGACAUCAGAUAAGGAAAUUGAGACUCAAAGAGGACCCCCAUGGAGAAAGUAAUGAAGCUUGAAUUUAGACCCAAGAUCAUGUCCCUUUCACUUCCUCAGCCUGCCCAGGAAGUUUAUAGCGUGCUCAUGCCACAAACCCUGGAGCUGGAUACGCGCUCAAUUGGCUUGAAGACCUUGGUCCUCUCUCCCCUUACUCACCAGGUAGUGCUGACUUCCAGACCACUGAGGUCACCUGCAUAAGCGAGUCUGGCAACAAAUAAUCGUCUUCCAGAAAAUGACCAGAAACUCAGCCUGCUUUUUGUCAUUUCACCAGCCCCACCAUCUUUCCUUUAUUCUAGAGCUCCUGGCACACUUACAUGAAUCUCUUGAAAGAAGAGAAAUGAGAGCAUUCAUUCCAUACUAAUACAAUUGUGCCCUAUGGAAAGGCUUUUUGCUGGCAGACAUAGUAGACGGACCAUUUCCCAACUUCUUUUUCUUUGCCACCUUCCAGCCAAAGGUGUCCAUAUGACACAGCUCUGGACAGGAUAAUUGGAAGUCUGUUGUGGGAUUUCUGAGAAAGCUUUUGAUUUUCUGACAGAGACAUUUUUGCUUCCCCUUACCACUUCCUACUGGAUUACAGAUGUGAUGGAAAGAGCUGCAGCAGCCAUAAUACAACCAUAAAGGAGAGGAGAAGAGAAUUGCAAAGGCAUCAACCCACAUUGAAUUGAACUGCUAAGUUAACACUAGCAGUUACUUGCCUCCAGAUAUCUUGGUGUGUGAGAACAUUAAAUCUGUAUGUGUCUAAAUCAGUAUGGGUGAACAUUUCUGUCACUAAAGUCAAAAGCAUCCCUGAAACAGUGCAUGAUUCCAUAUGACCCUUACCACAACCCUGGUAAAUAGGUAUAAUUAUCCUUCAUUUAAACAUGACGAAAUUAAAGUUGGGAGAAACUGACUAUACAAAAGUCAUUAAUCGUAUGAGUGGUAGAAUCAGGAUUUAAUUUCAAGCUUUUCAUGCUACACUCACAAACCC